GUGGGAGGGAGCCGUCGAAGGUGGGAUCGGCGAUUGGGACGAAGUCGUAACAAGGUAGCCGUACCGGAAGGUGCGGCUGGAUCACCUCCUUUCUAAGGAGCACCACGAGAGCUCGGCCCGCCCACAUCGUGUGGGGGUUCGGUGACCGUAGCCGAUUCGUGAAGAUGGCCUCACACCUGUAGUGGGUGGGGGUCUGGUGCAAUUUCAACAAACUUGGCUUGCUGCGUGGGAUAAGCGUGGUGGGGAAAAUCAUCGGACACACUAUUGGGCUUUGAGACAACAGCCCGUUGGUUCUCUGGCCACUGUGUGUGGUGAGAGGUGCUGUUGUUGCCCUGCUUUGGUGGUGGGGUGUGGUGUUUGAUUUGUGGAUAGUGGUUGCGAGCAUCUGAGCAUGCAUGACUUUUGUGGGUUGUGUGUGGUCAGCAUGUAAU
rnacentral:misc_RNA from 1 species